AGACAACAGAAGAGUUGUGGUACGUCCACAAACUGUGCACUGUUGUGCAUCUGCACUUCAGUCAAACACCCGAUGGCAGCUGCUGCUCCCACUGACCAUACGGCCAAGGUGCAACUGUUUGUAUAGCCAGAAAGAAACUCUUUGAUCAGUGCAAGUCAAAGAAGCUGUUGUUUCGUAGGUUUACAUGGGAUUGAAAUUCCUGGCAUAAAAAGGUGUUUGGAAACUUUCUGGCCAGACAAGAAGAGGUUCUGAAUCUUGGGAGUCUGACAGGAUUCCUGCAGCCUGUGUCACACAUCUCUGCUGGUCAUCGUGGUCAAGGAAAACACUGAAGUACUGAUAGACACAGUGGAGGUUUGGACACGUGUUUACUGCUCUAUUGUGUUUCCUGUGUCAGAAAUCAGACUGCCCAUCAUCGUCCUUUCAUCCUUUCCCUGGCAGUACAGAACACCAGUGCUGGAGGGGCAGCAGGUUUCUGUGGUGUAAAACACUGCUGCAAGACUGCAGGGCCACUUGGGCUGUACUUUCAAAAAUGAUUUAAACUAGCCUAAGAUCACUCUGUUGUCAAA